CUCCACUAUUUUCUUUUCCUUAUCUUCUCUUUUCCUCCUUCUUCGUCUCCCACGACACCUUCAUCAUUGUGUCUGUAAACACCACCACCACCACCACAGCUCGUUCAUCUUCUUCUUCUUCCUUCAUCACUGAAACCACGCAUCUCCCAUCACUCAAAUCACCAUUAACUUAAUAACGAGCUAGCUGAAUAUUUCUUCACCAACUUAUUACACCAACAGAUCGAGUGGAAGACUUACCACCACCAACACUGAUUUGAGAUCUGAUUUCAAACCACCACCACCACCAUCUCAACUUCUUAAUCCACCAAAGGUUCAUUGCAAAGUUGUGACCUGAGUAGACUAAAGAAGAAAGAGAGAUCAGUUGAAGGAAAAAAUGGUUGAAUAGUCUCUUAAUGUAUUUGGUUGAGCACUGGUUUUUCCAGUAUGAUUUGAUUUCAAAUGCUAUUUUAAAAACGUAUUUUCUCUCUGUUUUCCUGGUUGAGUUUUUUUUUUUGUAAGAAAUGUGUUGUGAAUCCGUUGCACAUCUGAAAUUUAAGUUCACUUCAGUGGAUAAUGGAUUGGUGUCUCUCUAAGUUAUGUUAGAAAAUCUAUAGCUUGGUUAGUAACACUGUCAAAUGUAGUUGGGUGUUUUAAUGGAAAGUGGAAGGCGAUAUAUCCCUCGCUGUUUCUGGCAACCAUUUCUGCAGAGUAUGAGCUUCGAUCAACUAUAACCUCGUGCUGCAAUGUAGCUCAUCCGACAUUGUUGUGUAGGACUUGGUCAGAAACUUGUUGGAAGACCCUUUUUCAGACGACAGCUAGGGCAACACACACAAAAGAUGUUCGAGUAAUUGCCUGACUGAGUUUGCGUAUAAAGAUGGAGCUGGUUUGGAAGGAAAGGAAGGAACAUAAGGUAACCUUGGCUGGAAUUUGAAGUUGCUAGGAGGUUCGCAAGCUGAGAACUAAUCAAGUGAUGCUGUAGCUGAAGCAAUAUGCCCUAAUCCGUGCAGCUAUUAGCCAUGGCCAAUAGAUAUGUGAUGGUACAGUCAUUUACAGUCAGAGAACUAGAUAUGCACAGUAAUUUGUCUUCUUUUUCCUGUUUAGUUACCAUUUGGUGCUAUGGGUUGUCAAUGUUUCUGAAAAAUUUCCAUUCUUUUUAUGGUUUUUGGUGGAUUAGAAGAAAUUGGGUACUUGAAGUCUUGAACUGUGAAAUAAAGUGGCAGGGAACUAGUAGAUAUGAAAUGAGAUGCAUUAUCAUGGUAGAAUGUAUGUGAUUGUUUCAGGGAAGGAUUGUUUACAUGGAAGGCUUUGCGCUGUUUGCGGCUCAGACGACUGAGCCUUAUUUUUAAACAUCAUCUUUUGUUUUUGC